GCAAGUCGAACGGUAACAGGAAGAAAGCUUGCUUUCUUUGCUGACGAGUGGCGGACGGGUGAGUAAUGCUUGGGAAUCUGGCUUAUGGAGGGGGAUAACUACUGGAAACGGUAGCUAAUACCGCGUAAUGUCUACGGACUAAAAGGGGCGAAAGCUCUUGCCAUAAGAUGAGCCCAAGUGGGAUUAGGUAGUUGGUGAGGUAACGGCUCACCAAGCCGUCGAUCUCUAGCUGGUCUGAGAGGAUGACC
rnacentral:rRNA from 1 species